rnacentral:rRNA from 1 species
AUGUCUGCUUUCCCUUGGUCCAUCGUCCCUGAGACCCACCCGCGUCUGCCACUACCGCCCGAUAGCACGGACUGCUUCUGCUCCCUCGAGGAUUCCUGCGAUGGACUGUUUCUUGCAAGCAUUCGCACAGACACCCCUGCUGGAAAUUCUCGAUACAUGGUCUCCAAUCCAGCUACCAGUGAGUAUAUUGUGCUGCCUCACUCUGGCUACUCUGGCAACAUCAGCAGCGCUUACCUGGGUUUCGACAGUGCUGUAUCCACUCGAGAGUUUCAUGUCUUCGAGCUUGUGACAGACAUUUUACCCCCCGACAGCCAGGGCAUACACCCCCUGGUUGUGACAGGAGUGAGGAUUUACUCUUCAAAAACUGGUGCGUGGGUGGCAAUGGAACCCAAAUGGGACAUUCAAGUUGGCUUGUGCUUUGGUCAGACUGGGGUUUUCCAUAAGGGAUGUUUGCACGUGCUCACGGAUGAGUCCGGGACUCCGGGUUGGCGAUAG